rnacentral:rRNA from 1 species
UCCUACGGGAGGCAGCAGUGGGGAAUCUUGCACAAUGGGGGAAACCCUGAUGCAGCGACGCCGCGUGAGCGAUGAAGCCCUUCGGGGUGUAAAGCUCUUUCGGCAGGGACGAUGAUGACGGUACCUGCAGAAGCAGCUGCGGCUAACUACGUGCCAGCAGCCGCGGUAAUACGUAGGCAGCGAGCGUUGUUCGGAGUUACUGGGCGUAAAGGGUGCGUAGGCGGCCUCUUAAGUUUGGUGUGAAAUCUCCCGGCUCAACCGGGAGGGUGCGCCGGAUACUGAGGGGCUAGAGUGCGGGAGAGGAAAGUGGAAUUCCUGGUGUAGCGGUGAAAUGCGUAGAUAUCAGGAGGAACACCUGCGGUGUAAACGGCUUUCUGGACCGUAACUGACGCUGAGGCACGAAAGCGUGGGGAGCAAACAGGAUUAGAAACCCUUGUAGUCCU